rnacentral:rRNA from 3 species
CACCUGACUCCAUGCCGAACUCAGUAGUGAAACGAAGCAGCGCCGAUGGUAGUGUGGGGUCUCCCCAUGUGAGAGUAGGACAUCGCCAGGC